AACCUGGUUGAUCCUGCCAGUAGUCAUAUGCUUGUCUCAAAGACUAAGCCAUGCAUGUCUAAGUAUAAGUAUUAUACAGCGAAACUGCGAAUGGCUCAUUAAAACAGUUAUAAUUUAUUUGAUAAUCGAAUUUACAUGGAUAACCGUGGUAAUUCUAGAGCUAAUACAUGCUGGUAGGCCCGACUUUUUGGAAGGGCGGUACUUAUUAGAUAACAAACCAAUAUUCCUCUGGUCUAUUGUGGUGAAUCAUAAUAACUGAUCGAAUCGCAAGGUUUUUAACCGCGAUAAGUCAUUCAAGUCUCUGCCCCAUCAGCUUUCGAUGGUAGUGUAUUGGACUACCAUGGCUUUUACGGGUAACGGAGGAUUAGGGUUCGAUUCCGGAGAGGGAGCCUGAGAAACGGCUACCACAUCUAAGGAAGGCAGCAGGCGCGUAAAUUACCCAAUCCUGACUCAGGGAGGUAGUGACAAGA
rnacentral:rRNA from 1 species